rnacentral:piRNA from 1 species
UAUAACCCUGAGGUAGGACACUAAAUGU